CAGAACCUUGGUCUUGGACUUCCGGCCUCCAGGGUUUUGUUGUGGCAGCCUGAGCCUACUGAGACCAUCAAUGCAGGGAGAGGCAAAGGAGUCAUGGGGUAGCUUCUUUAGGUCAGGUGGUCAGAUGACCAUGAGGUGAGAAGAAAUGAAGGAAAGAAGCCAAAUAAAAUCCAUGGGAAGAAUGUUCCAGAAAGAAGGACUGGCAGGGCAAAGGCCCGGUGGCAGGCCCAGCUGGGGUGCACUCUGAAGGCCAGGGAAAGCGGUGGAUUUUAUUCUCCAGGUAACAGGAGCCCACAGGAGCACCUGAGGGAGGAGUGCUAGGAUGGAAUUUAUGAUAGGCCCUUCUGGCUGCUGUGAGGAGCCAGAAAGGAAGCCUGGGUGCCCUUUAGGAGGCUGCUGUGGUUGUCCGUGGGAGAGAUAUAGGUGUGGUUUUAAGAUGGAGAAAGCAGGUCAAUUUGGAAUAGGUUUGAAGGUGGCUGCAGCAGGUUCUGUUGAGGUGUAUUUUGGGAUAUAAGAGGAAGAGAGGAAUUGAGGAUGGUACCUCUUUUCAUGAUGUAUACAUAAGGCUAUCAGAAUACACAGGGCUUUUGUGGGUCCUAACCAUGGGCUCUUUAACACCUCGAGGAUGGUAACACCAAAAGUUGGGAGCUGCUGAGCUCCUUGGGGUCCUGGUACUCUGUCAUUGACUGGUGCAGCAGGUAGUGUUACUUACUUACUUAUUUUUACUGCCAGAGAUGGUGCCACAUCCUACUAACAUCAUUGCCCUUAAUACAUGGAAAUAGGGUGAAGAGAUUUAUAUGGGCAUUAAUGAUCUACUGCCAUGCAAAAAGUUACCCCUAAACAGUUUCUAUGGGUUAGGAAUUUGUGAUCAGCUUGGUUGGGUGCUUCUGUCUCAGAAUCAUGCAAUUGCAGUUGGAUGUCAGUUGGGGAUGUGGCUCAUCUGAAGACUCCUCUGGGGCUGAGGAUCCACUUCCAAUGUGACUUGCUCACGUGGCUGGCACAUUGAUGCUGGCUGCUGCAUGAGGGCCUUGGCUCCUCUCCUUGUGAACCUCUCCACAGAGCUACUUGAAUGUCCUUAUGACAUGGCAGCUAGCCUCCUCAGAGUAAGUGAUCCAAGAGAUCAAGGUGGGGGCUGCAAGGCCUUUUAUGACCCAGCCUUGUAGGUCACACACCAUCAUCCUGCUACAUGCGAUUUGUCACAGUAGGCCAGCCUCAAUUUAGUGCAGGAGCAAAUACCAAGAGGCAAAGUGACCACAGCAUACUCUGAUUUGCCUAAAAGGCAAAUAACAUUGUCACCACUGGCUGGAAAGGCACUCAAGUGACUUGUCUAUGGUGUGAUUUAUCCCCGGGUCACCCGCAGGGCUGGAUUUGAGUCAGACCACCUGUGUCCAGUGCUAGCUUUUCCCACUUGGGAGAGGCAUUUAGCCUCUCAGGGUCAUCGUCUGUGAAAUGGGCUCUGACUCCUGCCUUGUGGUGUGAUGUGAGAUUUGGGCCGAUUGCUGACACAAGCUGGUGCCUGAUAAGUGUUCUUCACUUCCCUCCUCUUAGCCAACUCCUGUUUGCUGUGCAGCACACGCUUGAGCACAAGUCUUUGAAAUGAGUACUUUGAUUACUAUAGACCGUUUAGUAACCUUUGCACCUUGUCUAUGUGGAGAUUGAAUGGAUGGAUUCUUUUCUUGGCUUUGCCUGACACCCCUGGAAUGAUAGGCACUAGAGAGAACAUCACUCAGAUCUACACAUAGGCACGCUGGGCACGUGCGUGGCUGCAGGUUCAAUACAGGCUAGCUCUGAUUUUUGCCAACUUUCAGAUAUGUGUACAGAUUAGAUGUCAGUUAUAUAAUUUGGUUUAAAUUAUUUGCAAUCAGCUUUACGCCGUAGAUAAACUGGGAGCCACCGAUGCUGUUGGUCUUAACCUGUUCUACAAAUUAGUUUGUAGGUCAGGGUAAACGAUGACUCAAAAUCUUGUCUCGGGUGGGCAUUAGGUAAGUUUCUUUAGAGCAAUGUCAUUAGUAUCUUGUUCACAUGGGAGGAUGUUUUUAGACACGUUGGUUUGGCUUGUGUGGGUGAGAUGGGGAAUAACAUUAUUUCCCCCCAGUCUACAAUGCCAGAAUGGGUCCAUUUCAAUGAAAUGCAACUCCUGGGUGGCCAACUAAGCUUAAAUAGAAGUCAGCUGCACGCUGCCCGCCACCCUACCCUUGGGCCCUGGCUACUCUCAUUUCGACAGCCUCAUAAAACUGCAACAGGGGACAAACAAGAUCUAAUUGGCACUUUUGGUUUCACAGUGAAUUGGUUGUGCUCGAUACGACUGCCGAUAAGAAUUCAGAUGAAACAUUCUGAAACCAUCUGCAUGAAGCCUUGAUGUUCCUGCCAAGUAUACUCAUAGAUCUAAAGAUAAGCUAUCUGAUCCAGUGGCCUUGGCCAUCCUAAUUUACUUAAUUAUACAGUUGAACUCAUUGUCAGACAUGGGUGCAGUGAUGUGAAGGCUGCCGUGGAGUGAUUCACAUCGCUCGUGAGUUGGGUAAUAAGUGGUUCUGUGCUGCAAGCUUGGGGUCUACAGAGUCUGGUUACAACAGGCAGGUGUCUUCAUCUUAUGAAAAGGUUUGGGAGAUUGUGGGGGCUCCGCACUCUGACAGCGGAAGGAACAUGGAGCAAACCCCACCCAGGACUUUCCCUCAGAGGUCUGCUCUGCUCCACCUUUGCUUGAAGGUAAGAUUUUGGGAAAAUCUCCUCCCCCUCUGAACUCGAGGGUGCCCAUGUGUUUAUCUCCAGAUGCAGCUAAUAUCACUCAUGGAAUUACAGCCGACCCUUUAAAAACACGGGUUUGAAUAUUGAGGGUCCAGUAAUACGCAGUUUCUUUUCUUCACGCAAAUGUGGGUAGCCGAGAGACAACGGAAUUCAAACUUGUCCACUGUUUUCUGGAAUUGAAGGAAUCUUUUCUGGUGAGAAUUCUGAACAAUUGCUGCUGUUACCCAAGCUUCAGCGAUCGGUACAUGAGCUUCAAGUGAGCACGUAGUCAGUACUGAUUGUUUAAUAAACACGGUGUCAGUUCAGAGAACUCCCAGCAAUACGGUCAUGUCUGACACACAUGGACUGAGCUUCCACAGGUGCGUCGUGAGAGACGUUUAUCAGGGUCCUGGAUCAUUCGAGCUCGCUCCAGGCACCACUGGGGUCCUCAGCCCUAUGGAGCGACACAUUCCUGUUCCUGCAUGGAGGCAGCAGCUAUGACCUACGCAGCGACCGCACAGUGAAGGUAAAGACGAAGAAACACGUUGGAGUUCCUUCAGUGUGACUUGGAAUCUGCGUUUGUGUUUAAAAUUCCAGACAGUGACAUAGGGUUAGAACUGUGAGGUGCACCAUUUUUAUUGGGUAAGUUCAGAUUUCAGCUCAUGCAUAUUUGUUUCAUGUCGUGAUUGUUACUAACAAUAAUUUUGUCUUAUAGAAGAGAGGAGUGUUGGCAGUGAUCUGCUCAGGGUGUCAAAUAUGCGAGGUCUGUCGGCUACAUCACACUAUAACUGGGGCAGAAAUUCAGGCUCUUUUUGGGUUUUGUUUUUGCAUACAGUUGUCCUACACCUGAAAAGCAGAUGGUAUAUUACACAUACUGUUACGUUUUCUCUUGCCAAGGUGCAGAUGUCCUUUGUAUGUUGUUCAACCCUCACAAUGUGUACUUUAUGGAAAGCGUACAUCCCAGUCAAGCCCAUAGGAAAGGCAUUACCCAUUGACCUUUCUGAAAUAUUCUGCCCCCGUGAUUCUAGCAAUACCAGAAUGACUGCUUGAGAAUCUCUAGCCUGGCAUCUCCAGGCCCCUGGCUUUCCUCUGUGCUGGAGACCAUAGUGCUCCACAGGACACUCCUUUAUGGCUGGCACCCACAUCCCCCUCCUGAUGCAGCAAUGAUGCUGGAGUCUGUAGCUUAGCCCUCCCCAGGGGUCUGCCCUCAGCCAGGGUCUACUCCAUCCUUGAGCUGCCCCCAUCCAAUGGCUGGUUUAGGAGGUGCACGAGGGUCUAGCUUGGUGCAUUAGGACAAGCAUGAAGUACCCCCAGCUGAGCCUUUCCUUGGGCCUCCACACCUCAAAUUCUCCCGCUUUCCAGUCCUGCCUCCUUACUCCCUAUGGGGAUUGACCCUGGGGGCACCCCCAGUCUACUGCCUAUGCACAAGUCAGGGGCUGUUCCUGGGAACUCUGUUAUGACACAUCCCUUCUCCCCAAACCUACACCUUGCGUGGAUUCGGCUUUCUGGCCAGUGCCCUCUUCUCCAAAUGCACCUGUAGGUCCCCAUCUUGGUCCCUGUAGCAAUCAGUGUUGUGCAUUAAGUGUGUCCUUCCGGGCUCGUGGGAGGCUUUUGUUCCUGGCCCCUGUGUCUGAUAAGCUGGGGACACAUAUGACAUGUGUCAGUUCCAAGCGAACUGUUGGUUACAGCAGCACCAUACUGAAUAUCUGACUGAUACAGCUCCUUUGGGUUAGAACCUCCCUCCCUGCAUUUUCUGGCCAGUUUUACUUUCCAAAUUCUGGACAAAAUGCAGCCAUCUCUGUAGACCUCGGAAUCCAGUUGGGAUCCAGUGUUCAUCUUUGUUCUCUUGAAGUCCAUCUUCCCCGGGAGACCGACAAUGUCUUCAGGAUAGAAAGUGCAUCUUAGUGACCCUCCAUCCCUCACAAGGCCUUGGUCUGAGUAGAGAGGUAAUGCUUGCUGAGAGGACGGGGGCUCUCGAGGACCUGAGUGAGGUGCCCAGGAUAGAUGAUGAAUAGGCACUGGUGAUGUCAGUGUGCCAAUAGGGGAGCCAUUCCUGACGCCGAUGCUAAAUAUCACACGUCACGUUCCUUUCAUCAGCCAUAGAGCAAAAUCCCUGGACUCUCACUCACCCACUGAACACCUCACAUUCUUAGAUAAAAGAAUGAUUUAAGUGGGUCUGCAGUAUUCUGUAACAUAUUGUUCUCGGCACCAUAUGCUUAAUACUGAUAGCCGGUGUUUGCUCGCAGUUACUUCUGCAGGCUCAUGUGUUGAGCAAACAUCAGUAUCCCGGGGCCCAAAUACUGCUGAAAGCAACUGAAAAUAUGGCAAUGACUACCAUGAAUAUCAGUCCUAAUGAACUUCCCAUUGUAUCCAGAGUACCAAUACUGUCAUUUCAGCGGCUCGGUGUGGGUCUCAAAGGGCACAUCUACUAUCCCUGCCCUCUGCAGAGGCUCAGGGAGGUUGACCGCCUGUAGGGGAACCACGGCUGGAAUGGGACACCCGCUGGGGGAUUCUCACAGAGCAGCAUCCUGCUGCGGGGUAACCGCCCUUUCCUGCCUCUCUUGCCACUCUUCUGCCUCUGCCAUUACUGGUCCUGUUGUCUGACUCACUUACAGUAUUUCGAGGAGGACCCUGAGGGCUUCCUUCUUCAUUCUGUUCCUGAAUUAUUUCCCUCAAAUUAUUUCAUAUUAUGUAUUUACUUUUAAUUAUCUUUAUAUUGAUCAUUUGUUCUCAAACUCUGUUAUAUUGAUUUAUUUUAGCCUUGGUAUUUUUAUAACACCACUUAAGCCUCAGCUGUCUGGCCAGUUAAAUGAAACGAAUCAUAUCAAGCAAGCACACGCUGAUCUGUAGGUCUGCCUCCUCACACACCUGCCGUGGGGCAAGAAUUGGGUUCCAGCCCCUGAUCGGCACAGGAGUGCACAAGCAGUCUCCCACGCAGGCAGCUUCUGUGACUUCACAAUCAAAGAUGUUUCCGAGGCUGAAGAUUCUUCCUUGACCUCAGCAUCCUCCUUCACCUACUGCAGGGGUGACUACUGCCCAGUACAGGAGCUGGAGGAGAUCUUGCAGGCAAAGAAGAGAGACAAGUGCAGUCCCAUGAGAUCCGGAAUGCUUAUGGUCUACCCCAAAGUCAAUCAACAGCAAUUCUGGUUUGGAAAUCAACGCAUCUGCACUCUGAGUUGCAUUGGAUCCUGGCGGACCAGAGCUCUGCACGCUUUCUACUCUCCAGCCUGUGUGCAGAAGUUGUAAUACGAAAAAUGACAUUCUCCAAACUCCCUUGCAGCUAGAUUCUGGGCCUGAUUUUAUUUCAUUUUGACUAGGUGCACGUGCUUGCCAUUUACAGGACAGAAGGGAGUGGGGGCUGCGCGUUGCCGUGUCUGCCGUUUCCAUCGUGAAGCACAGUGGAGAGGUCCUGGUUUUCUGCAGCAGUUUUAGCAAGAGCUCCUGAUUUCUGGGCAGUGGCUCUGUGAGUGUGAAGAGCAGGGCCUGGAGCAGUCAUUUUGCUCGUGAGCAAGUUGCAGCCACUCAUAGUUCUGAGCCUCUUUUUGAUCCCUAGUUCCUAAGGUGAGGUAUUCCUGAAGCAUUUGGUUGUGGCUGGUUUUCCGAUUUCCUAAUUAUAAUAAAGGUGGGUGAUCUGAGAGCCAGAGGAAGCCCAGCAUCCUUCCUCCCCACCCCACUGUCUAACUUCUUGCUGGAAGCACCAUGGGUGCAGUCGUCUGGCACAUCCACUAGGCUGCCUAGAGUAGCUCUUUGCGCAAUGGAACUCAAUCUUAAGUGCAUAAAUGAUGCAUCCAUCUGGAAGACUCUUCAAAAGAGCUGCGUAUCUCAUGACUUAGUUAAGUAUGCGCAACAGGUCACAAUAAAUUGGAAGUGCUAGUGUUGGGAUGUUGGGAUGAUAGGAAUUUCUUCAUUGGCUUUAAAAAAAACUCCUGGAAGGUGAGUGUUAGGUGGAAUCAGAUUUGCUGUCCUGUCCCUGAAAUUCAGCCUCUCUUUCUCUUUUCUCUCCUCUGUAUUAGAUUAUUUUCUAACUACAGCACAAAGGCAGCCCAUGGACUUAAUUACUUGGAACUAUAUUUCCUUUCAUUAAAGGGAUUUACUUUAAGUCCUAACCAAGUUCGACAUUCAGCCUAUCUACUUUAAAUAACAAGUGAUUUUCUGUGUUCUCCAAGCUUACUACAAUAAACAUGUUAUUUUCAGGUUUUAAGUGUAAAAGUUUAACAUAACCUCUAUUCACCCCCUGCUUCCCAAGAAGGAAAUAUUUUUGCAUAUACAAUUAUACACAAGCAUAUUAUUUUGUUUUACUUUAUCUUUACGCAAGUAGGACUUUAGAAAGCUUACUAUUCUGUAACUUUUAGCUCUUCUUUAGCACUUCGGUAACUUUUAGUACAUCUUGGACUUCUUCGCUUAGCAGGACAGACGAUGGAAAGCCAUCAGAAUAGCAAGGAUGUACUGAGCAUUUCUCAUGUGCUGUGUGUUAAAUUAGCCCUUUAAGUGGAUUGAUACCUUUGAUCUACACAGCAGAUAGGAAGUCAGCGCUUUCUAAAUCAAUCCUGCUCUUGGAGAAGGUUAUGCAUGUAAACCCCCCUGGACCUCCUCCUCACACUGUAACUCCCUGUGAUAAAGCCAACUCCUGCUUUAUAACAAAUACUCAUAUCUAUUUGGUAAGUCCCUUCUCAUCUCUUUUCUUGUUUAGACUUUCUCCAGCUCCAUUACAGGGACAUAUUAAAAGAUUCUAUUAGUGCUUAGGAUAUAGAGUACAUAUGGACAACUUUAUACUAUUAUGCCUUUUAUUCAAGAAAAAGAGAUUUUUAUAUAUUGAAAGAGAGACUGGGUCAAAGACGCCUCUGGGUAUGUUGUUGGCUCCUUUCAAGUACUUCUUAUGGCUGUUAGCACAAAGACAAAAUUCCUGCCUCCGUGCCAGGUUUUUGCCAUAUGUCCAGCUUGUCUCAUCCAGUAUGGGCACACGACCCUUCAGUUCUUUGAACAAGAAGGCUCCAUGCCACCACAGCACAGGCCUUUGGACACAGUGUUCUCUCGGUCUGGGAUGGGAUGCUUCCGCCCUCUACCCGAAUAACUCCCACACGCCCUUCAGAUCCCAAGCUGAACACUGUUUCUUCAGAAUGCCUUUCAUGGCAUGGACUGGCAUUACCAAAAUUUUUCUGUCAUUUUGAUAAAAGAAAAACUACAUACAAUAAUUUUAUCUACAUUUCUUUGUGUUUGAGUUGAACAUGUUUCUUGUCCAUUUUUGUUUCCUCAUAAACAGCUGGUUGGUACUUUUAGAUCAUUUUUUAUGGAGUUGUUCCUUUUUAUUUAUUCACAGGAACUUAUUUAUAUUAAAGAAAAUUAUUGGUCUUAUUUCUUCUAUAUACCUUUCCGUUCAAAUACCAGUUGGUUAGUUGACUUUUACAUUUGCUUAAGGCAUUUUUCUUUCUCAAAAGGUACUGGUUUUUACGCAGUCAGAGUUAUUAAUGCUUUCUUUUAAUGUUUUUGGAUUUUGUGUGGAACUAAGAAAAGGCUCCACUUCUCCAAAGUUAGUAAUAGAACGGGGCACCAGUUUUGUUUUUUCUGCCAAAUGACUAUCUAGGUGAGCCAAGAUGAGAUACUGAUAAGCCAUCUUUUCUAAGUGAUUUGAUUUUUGUUUUUUGUUUUCUUUUUUGAGACAGAGUCUUGCUCUGUCACGCAGGCUGCAGUGCAGUGUC